AAAUUGAAGAGUUUGAUCAUGGCUCAGAUUGAACGCUGGCGGCAGGCCUAACACAUGCAAGUCGAGCGGUAGCACAGAGAGCUUGCUCUCGGGUGACGAGCGGCGGACGGGUGAGUAAUGUCUGGGAAACUGCCUGAUGGAGGGGGAUAACUACUGGAAACGGUAGCUAAUACCGCAUAACGUCGCAAGACCAAAGUGGGGGACCUUCGGGCCUCAUGCCAUCAGAUGUGCCCAGAUGGGAUUAGCUAGUAGGUGGGGUAACGGCUCACCUAGGCGACGAUCCCUAGCUGGUCUGAGAGGAUGACCAGCCACACUGGAACUGAGACACGGUCCAGACUCCUACGGGAGGCAGCAGUGGGGAAUAUUGCACAAUGGGCGCAAGCCUGAUGCAGCCAUGCCGCGUGUGUGAAGAAGGCCUUCGGGUUGUAAAGCACUUUCAGCGGGGAGGAAGGCGUUAAGGUUAAUAACCUUGGNAAGAAGGCCUUCGGGUUGUAAAGCACUUUCAGCGGGGAGGAAGGCGAUAAGGUUAAUAACCUUGGCGAUUGACGUUACCCGCAGAAGAAGCACCGGCUAACUCCGUGCCAGCAGCCGCGGUAAUACGGAGGGUGCAAGCGUUAAUCGGAAUUACUGGGCGUAAAGCGCACGCAGGCGGUCUGUCAAGUCGGAUGUGAAAUCCCCGGGCUCAACCUGGGAACUGCAUUCGAAACUGGCAGGCUAGAGUCUUGUAGAGGGGGGUAGAAUUCCAGGUGUAGCGGUGAAAUGCGUAGAGAUCUGGAGGAAUACCGGUGGCGAAGGCGGCCCCCUGGACAAAGACUGACGCUCAGGUGCGAAAGCGUGGGGAGCAAACAGGAUUAGAUACCCUGGUAGUCCACGCCGUAAACGAUGUCGAUUUGGAGGUUGUGCCCUUGAGGCGUGGCUUCCGGAGCUAACGCGUUAAAUCGACCGCCUGGGGAGUACGGCCGCAAGGUUAAAACUCAAAUGAAUUGACGGGGGCCCGCACAAGCGGUGGAGCAUGUGGUUUAAUUCGAUGCAACGCGAAGAACCUUACCUGGUCUUGACAUCCACAGAACUUUCCAGAGAUGGAUUGGUGCCUUCGGGAACUGUGAGACAGGUGCUGCAUGGCUGUCGUCAGCUCGUGUUGUGAAAUGUUGGGUUAAGUCCCGCAACGAGCGCAACCCUUAUCCUUUGUUGCCAGCGGUCCGGCCGGGAACUCAAAGGAGACUGCCAGUGAUAAACUGGAGGAAGGUGGGGAUGACGUCAAGUCAUCAUGGCCCUUACGACCAGGGCUACACACGUGCUACAAUGGCAUAUACAAAGAGAAGCGACCUCGCGAGAGCAAGCGGACCUCAUAAAGUAUGUCGUAGUCCGGAUUGGAGUCUGCAACUCGACUCCAUGAAGUCGGAAUCGCUAGUAAUCGUAGAUCAGAAUGCUACGGUGAAUACGUUCCCGGGCCUUGUACACACCGCCCGUCACACCAUGGGAGUGGGUUGCAAAAGAAGUAGGUAGCUUAACCUUCGGGAGGGCGCUUACCACUUUGUGAUUCAUGACUGGGGUGAAGUCGUAACAAGGUAACCGUAGGGGAACCUGCGGUUGGAUCACCUCCUUA
rnacentral:rRNA from 1 species